GUUUUACGGGAGAAAUAGUAAAAUCACCUCGCAUCUUUCAGUGCCCAGCAAAUUGUAUAUAAAAGGUCGUUUGUUCUGUGUGUGAAUGAUGAAACGAGUGCACGUGUUCGCCAUUCAUUCCUUGCGUGUUCAGCCAUGUGAAAAAACCACAACAUGGGGAAAUUACUGGCAAGAUUCCAUAAUCACAUUGUCAAAAUAUCAAAAUCGUGACGUCUGUCAAUUCAAAGUAUUUUUCCAACGUUUUUCUUGCGCAGCUGAGUCAAGAUUUGGCUUGCAAACAUUUUGGUUCGAAAGACCCGCUAACAAAUAUUACUAAUGCUACCAAAACAAGCA